AGAAAGUACCGGUUCUUGUCCGAUCACUGCAGUUAAGUAGCAUCGGACGAGGUCAGUUCUUGGGAGGGUGACCACUUGGGAACACCGUGUGCUGUU